UUUGUCUCGGACGACACAUGAACAAGUUUGUCACGGCCAUAUAUGCUCUGGAGAGAUAAAACUACAAGUAUAUUUUGUCUUAAAAGUUCCUUAAACAGUAUUACUCCCUCUGUAAACUAAUAUAAGAGCGUUUAGAUCACUACUUUAGUAUUCUAAAAGCUCUUAUAUUAGUUUACGGAGGGAGUACAUUAUAACAAGGUUAGAGUACAGCAUAAGAUCCUGGUUAUAUCACAGCAGCACAAAAACUGCACUCACAGCCUAAACCUGCAGAACCACAUUUAGCUCACACCACUUCAAACCUUCGACAAACUUGAAUUACCUCAGGCCGAGUGAAUAGAAAGUUCAUUCCUUGGUUAGACAACAGCAUC
rnacentral:lncRNA from 1 species